GAGAAGCACACACACACACAAAUAUAAAAUUGAUGUAGAAGAAAAUUUCAAAGGUCAUUUUUUUCCCUGAUUAAAAUUCAUAAUAAAAUUACAACAGCUAUGUUUUUCAUCAAGGAAGUAUUUAAGCAGCUAAUUUUUAUAUAAAUAUAUUCCAUGCUAGUUCAAUAAAUUAGAAAAAGGAGCAUAAUCUUGUUAAGAUGCAAUUCAGAGGGAACAGUGGGUGGAUAGCUAUUAACAUAUGAAAGCAAUGAAUGAAUGUACUGAAUAAAUAAGCCCUAUAAAUUACUCACAGCCAACCAACAGAAUUUAGAUGACUUUUUUUUUCGUAAAUUAGGUGAGACCUUAAAAUAUUUUUCAACAUGCCAGGAAAAUUUCCUUUUGCACAUCUCAAUGGCAGUUGAGUUCCAUUGAAGUUUGGGAGUAAGGGCCAAGAUCACACACCUAUCAGGACCCUGUGACAAGGCCCUGUCAUUAUGCCAGGACUAGAUGUUCUGAUAAGCUUGUUAGUGACUCCUUCAGAAAUACCACACAAAGAAUUGCAGGUUCCUAUCAAGCAUCCAAGGACAAACAGGAUGGUAGGUUUUCCCUCCUGUUUUUUUUUUUAUUAUGUUGUUUUUUCCCUCAAAAUCUACUCGAUUCAAUUUUUGUGAGUUCUAAAAUAUUUUAUUUCUUCCAUCCACUUGAAAUAAAGAUCCUGCAAGCUACAAGUCUGGAUUUGGAUUUGCCAUCAUUUGCAUUAAAGGCAAAGGGAGCGUCUGGCUCUCAUUUCUCGACUGGAAGCCCUGUUUGUCUUGAGCAACUUGGCCUAACAAAGAGAAUGAGAUCAACAGGUUUCGAGUGACAUCACUGAGGCAUCCCAGGCCGUGGUAAAUGUGACAUUGAAGAAAAGUGAGAAAAAAACCUGCAGUCGUCUCUUCCCACACCAGCUUGCCACCUACAGAAAAGCAAGAGAAAACAGGAUGCUUGGGAGCAAUUUUUUCUGAUAAGUCACAUAGCGGUAGAAUUUAAGGAAUAAAAAAUUAACCAUCUAUAUCCA
rnacentral:lncRNA from 1 species